rnacentral:lncRNA from 1 species
CAUGUGGACAAGUCUUGGGCGCUUUCUCAGCAUCUAUGUGUCCAAUAGCAAUGCUCUUUACUGCAGACUCAGGCAUGCCUUCCACCCAUCUCUGGCACAUUCCGUAUGCAAAAGCACAAGGAACAUUUAUUCAUACUUCUUGACAUAUCUCCCAAAUGCACACAUGCACAAUACCACAGGUACCCAGGCAAGUAUAUUCUGUUCAUCAAAUGGUCACUGAAUGUCUACUUUGAGCAAGGCCCUAAAUGAGACAGAUAAUUGUCUGCUCUUAGAAAAACAUCUCACAGGAAGGCCUGGCAGAUCCAGGCCCACAUGCACAAUUAUAUAACAAGAGAAGCCUACGUGCUAUCAAUGCCAUACACCACUCAGGUUAGAGAUGAAUGCUCUCCUGUUCCUGUCCCUACAUAGCCUUUUACUGGAAAUCUUCAUAUCUGGACAUUCCAGCCAUCUGGUAUCCCCCCAAUUCCUAUAUAUUGAUAAAGACACACCAAGUUCUUGUGCUUCUGGCCUUUCACCUGGGAGAAAAAGUUGAAAAAUCAAAAGCUAUAAUCUUCCAAGACUUCUCUUUGAGAUGCUACCCCCAGCAAGCCUCCCUCCUCCAAGCAAGAACAAAUGGCUUCUGGCCAUCUUCAUGGCCAGUUUUACGCCGUCCACUUCAGUGCACUGCCAUUGUGUACCUGUGCAAUGUAUGUUUCACAGAUGGAAACAGGAUGCUACCCCUGGGCAAGGAAUCUCCUAUGAACCCAAAGGUUUUCAGUGGGGGAAGGAAUUAA